AUCCGGUUUUAAGGCGCUCUUUUUCUUGAAAACGGCCAUUGCACUGCAGUCUUGGUAGAGAAAGGCAGCCCAGCUUCUGGAAGGGGAACGUAAUAUACUAUUUGAAAAGAAGUGCAACACGUGGUGGGUUCUGGAGGGUGCUUGAAAAGUUUCUGUCGGAUAAGGCAUCAUGUUGCUGAAGGUGAAAUACCAGGGUACCAAGAAGUACAUCAGAUUGCAGUCAGGCUUCACCUAUUUGGAAUUCAUCAAUGAAGUCAAAAGCAAGUUUGGUCUUCCUGAUGCGACUGACCUUCAAAUCUUUGAUGAAACCGACACAGCAGUGGAUGAAGACAUCCUUCUUGAACUGAUAGAGUCCAAUCCUGACUUAUGCCUGACAGUAUGUGACAGCUUUUCAGUUGAAGAUCAUUCAUCACCAUCUUCCCUCACGGAUACCAUGUCACCUUCUUCGAGUGAUAAUGACCUCUCCAGUCGAAGAGAACGGGGGAUUCCCAUAGACAGAAAUGUAUCCAACUUUGAAGUCAUGAACAGAAGUACCACAGAGGCCUCAGGGUCAGAGGCAGCGAAAGAGAUGGUAGAAAAUGCCUUGCUAAGGAAACCUGGAGGUGAGGAUGUCCUGGAAGAGUACAAGUCAGAAAAUACGUUGACGCACAGCACCCGGAGACACCUUGUUAACAUUCUGACUAGCCAUAUGACUGAAAUGCAUGGGAGGAUUGUUCCACGUCAGCAAAAAGAGAAGUAUGCCCUGGGAAUCAUUACACUCUUUCCCUCGCUGAAGGAUCCUUUUUCUCCAAAGGGAUAUGAGCACUUCUAUGAUGGGGUGAAAAACACAGGAUUUUUAUCAUGGCGCCUGAGGACCAUGUCCAGGAAGAACCGGGCGACGGGCAGUCCACAGGCAGGCAAAGUGCCUCAACUACAAGGACCAAAGCGCCAAAGACCAGCUGCCACAGAUCAGCAGCAGCUUGAUGGAGAUGCUUGCAGGGAGGCUAUUUCUUUUCUUGUUCACUCUCCUGAUGAGGCAGGUGUGUUUGAGAAGAUGAAGUUGACCUUACAACAUCGCCAAGACCUACUGAAUCAAGACUUCCUGCUGCUGUUUGGUGGUGAAACAGCAUCCAAGAUGCUUGAAAAGUGGGACACGGCAUUCAAGUACAAGGUUAUCAAAGAGGCCAAACAACUGACUCAGUCAAAAGAGCUGUGCCGACUUCUGAAUGCUGCUGAGAAACCUACGGAGAAUGAUGACACUAGCUGGGACAGUGACAUGGCUUCUCUGCUGCUGCUCCUUCAUCUCUUGCCACCCACAGCUGGACGGAGGGGAGCAAAAUCAGUGCCAGUGAUGCAGUGGAAAAAAUGGUUCACUUUCACAAGUCGUGCUGCAGCAUUGAUGAACACCUGCGUGGGAGAAAGGGUCAACAACCGUACAUCCUUGCUGCUGGUCGCACCCAGAACAAGAUUGACAACUUCUAUAUUGUCGUUGACAAACAGCUCAUCCCCUGCCAAGCCACCAGCUCCUUAGGUGCUUUUGAUGAACUGUUCAAAUCACACUACGUGUUCAACCUGUCAUACGAGGAGUCCCUGGUCCAGCUCUACACAUUUGUGCAGACAACAGUCUACAACAUCGAUGUCACAACAACAGAUGAGUCUCCAAGAAUCCGUGAGUUGCGGGCAAAACUCCUGAACUAGGAUUAAAACGUAUAAAAUUAAAAACGUAUUAAAAUGUAUAAGUGUUUCAUAUGUGAAGCUGUACACAAGGAUGUCCAGUCCUUGGUAACCCAUUUAAGAAUUGAUCACAGUUUCUAUCCUAGCAGGAGGUUUAAGUUGGUUUGUGCACAAGAUCGUUGUAGGCGUCAGUUUUUAUCAUAUUCCGGUUUCAAAAAACAUUUAAUGAGAGUUCAUGAGGAGAAUUUUUGUCAAAGUGGUGUUGCAGCAAACCCGGAGUCCUUUCAAGCUAUCCAUCACAGUGUCCAAAGUACUUUAGAAGUUGGUGAAACAGGUGUCCCACAGAGCUUAGAGGCUGGUUGUUUUGAGGACAAUGUAUCUGGUCUUAACAAAGAACAUACUAAAAAUAUCAGUGCCUCAAUUGUAGCUAAACUUCAAGAAAGUGGUAUGGCAAAUAGUCUUGUUUCAACAAUUGUUAGUGAUUUGGAAGAACUUGCUACUGGACUGCACUCCCAAGUUAAGCAAGAAAUACUAUCUGCUGUGCCUAAAGACAAUCCUAUCCGAUCUACAUUAGAAGGUCUUGAUACUUUUGAAAAUCCAUUUGUAAGCUUUAAUACUGAAACUAAAAGAACAAGAUAUUUCAACGAAAAAUGGGGUGUUGUUGAGCCUGUAGAAAUAAUGUUAGGACAUCGAUUCGAUACAAGGCGAAAUAAACAAACCGGUACUUAUGAUCAAGUUCAAGUAAAAGACACUUUUGUUUACGUUCCAAUUUUGAAAACUAUCCAAUUCAUGUGCCGCAAUUCGGAUAUUUGUAAAUUGCUUGGGGAAACUUUUGUAUCCAAAACUGACAUAUUUGAAGACUUUUGUGAUGGUAGUUAUUUUAAGACGCAUGCAUUGUUCUCUAAACAACCGACUUCUUUACAAAUUCAGAUGUACUAUGAUGACUUUGAAACUGCUAACCCACUGGGUUCAAAACGCGGUAUUCACAAAAUGGGUGCUCUCUAUUUUGUCCUUAGAAAUCUGCCACCAAAGUUUAACUCUGCUGUGAUGAACAUCCAUUUGGUCGCACUGUUUCACACUGAAGAUGUAAAAAAAUAUGGCUUUGAUCCUAUUCUUCAGCCUCUGAUAAAUGACAUUAAAACACUGGAAAGUCACGGUCUUGACUUGUCCUUCUCCACUGAAAAAGUCCAUGGCACUAUAUGUCAGAUAACUGGGGACAACUUGGGAAUGCAUGCAAUUUUAGGGUUUACAGAGUCUUUUAAUGGACGUUAUUACUGUCGUUUAUGUUUGAUUGAAAAAGGUGAUGCCCAGAAUGUUUACAGUGAGGACCACCCAAAGAUAAUCUUGCCUGGAAAAGAGCUUUUUGAAAUGCACUGCAAUGAGUUGCAAUCAGACCCACAGAAGUUAUCAGUGUUUGGUUUAAAAAGGAAUUCAUCUCUUAAUGGCCUACAGUUCUUUCAUGUUAGCCACAAUUUUUCUUUCGACAUAAUGCACGACAUCCUAGAAGGGGUGGCUCAGUAUGAGAUAAAGUUACUUUUGGAAUAUCUCUCAGAAAAUGUUCUGUCAAAGCCUGAUCUGUUAUCUAGAAUUUAUGCUUUUGACUAUGGGUACUUGGAGCGAAAAAACCGUCCUACAAGGAUUAAUUUAGACAGUAUUGGCAAUAACAUCGGCCUCAAUUCCAUUCAGACUCUUUGUCUUGUGAGGAACAUCCCUUUACUUUUUGGUGACAUUGUGCCAGAAGGAAACAAAAACUGGCUUUUGCUGUUGAUUUUACUGCAGAUUAUCAACAUCAUAUUUUCUCCUUCUGUUACACUAGGCAUGACUGUACUUUUAAAACAUCUAAUAAUGGAACAUCAUGAGUUGUUCAAACAGCUGUAUCCGCACAGAAACCUGAUCCCAAAACAUCAUUUCAUGAUACACUACCCAGCUUGCAUAAGAAAAAUAGGGCCUCUACUUCAUAUGUGGAGCAUGAGAUUUGAAGCAAAACACAAAGUAUUCAAGAACACUCUUAAAAACUUCAAGAACAUCACCAAAUCUCUUGCCAAAAAACAUCAAAUGUCUAUAGGAUAUCAUUGGGAGACAUCACCUUUAAACCAUAUGGAGUAUGGACCUUUGAAACCAUUUCAUUUUGAUAGUGAAAGGUUUGCCCGAGCCCUUCAUGCUGUACCAAAAGACAUCUUCUCGACUAAUUGGGUUAGAAUCAGUGGGACAGAGUACAGGACAGGACUAGUUGUUUGCAGAGGGAUUGAACAUGAAAUGCCAGUGUUUUGCAGAAUACAAAAGAUCCUUUUAGUUGAAAGUGUUAUGUACUUCCUAGUGACAAAACUUGUGGUUGAUCAAUUCAGUGAACAUUUUCAUGCCUACCAAGUAUUUGAAAGUGAUGACAAAGAUGUUAUAAAAGCAGACAGUCUUGAAAUGUAUAAGCCCUUUGCCUUACAAAAUGCCUAUGGUAGAGAUGUGAGCCAAUAUAUUGUGCCUUUGUUUUCAUUUUAAAUAUGCAUAGGUUGUGUACAUAUCCUAUUCCUCACGUACUGGUUGUUCUGGUCAACUAACUUUUUUCAUGUGCAUAAAGUUGUGUGUCAUUUUGUGAAAUGUGUAAAUAUAUUCAUUUGGGCUGUCACGUUAAAAUUGUACCGGGGGCGAAAAUUGUACCGGCCUACGUCAUCAGUUGUUUACAUCUUGACAACCUGCCGACAACAUUUGGCUCAUGUUUCCAAAAGACGAAAUAACAUAAUGCAGAUAACGGAUCGCUAGAUAACACUUGUUUUUACUUUAUAUUUGUAUUGUAUUUAAUUGUUUAAUCGAGGCGAUCGCGUCAAAUGACGUGGGAAUGUACAAGAACCUUCCUACGUCAUUUGACGCGAUCGCCCGUUUUCCGGCAACAGACGAUCGCGUCGUCUGUUGCUAUUCGAUUAAAUACAAUACAAAUAUAAAGUAAAAACAAGUGUUAUCUAGCGAUCCGUUAUCUGUAUUAUGUUAUUUCGUCUUUUGGAAACAUGAGCCGAAUGUUUUUUGCAACCUGCCCGGCAACAGACGAUCGCGUCGUCUGUUGCCAGGCAGGUUGUCAAGAUGUAAACAACUGAUGACGUAGGCCGGUACAAUUUUCGCCCCCGGUACAAUUUUAACGUGACGGGGCCUAUUUCCACCUUACUCAUAUCCACACUGGAGUGGUUCAUUAGUGAGAAGAGUGGAGGAGAGACAUUAUCUGUCAAUGUGUUUGAUGCCUGGAUCUUGUGUGCAAUAUUGUUUGAGCUGCAAUGUUGAAUAAAAAACAAAAGAAA
ensembl:lncRNA